GACGAACGCUGGCGGCGUGCUUAACACAUGCAAGUCGAACGGUGAAGCAGGAGCUUGCUCUUGUGGAUCAGUGGCGAACGGGUGAGUAACACGUGAGCAACCUGCCCCUGACUCUGGGAUAAGCGCUGGAAACGGCGUCUAAUACUGGAUAUGUGAUGUGACCGCAUGGUCUGCAUCUGGAAAGAAUUUCGGUUGGGGAUGGGCUCGCGGCCUAUCAGCUUGUUGGUGGGGUAAUGGCUCACCAAGGCGUCGACGGGUAGCCGGCCUGAGAGGGUGGCCGGCCACACUGGGACUGAGACAUGGCCCAGACUCCUACGGGAGGCAGCAGUGGGGAAUAUUGCACAAUGGGCGGAAGCCUGAUGCAGCAACGCCGCGUGAGGGAUGACGGCCUUCGGGUUGUAAACCUCUUUUAGCAGGGAAGAAGCGAAGUGACGGUACCUGCAGAAAAAGCACCGGCUAACUACGUGCCAGCCGCCGCCGUAA
rnacentral:rRNA from 1 species